CCUACGGGAGGCAGCAGUAAGGAAUAUUGGUCAAUGGACGCAAGUCUGAACCAGCCAUGCCGCGUGGAGGAUGACGGUCCUCUGGAUUGUAAACUUCUUUUCUCUGGGACGAAACCCCCGAUUUCUAUCGGGCCUGACGGUACCAGAGGAAUAAGCACCGGCUAACUCCGUGCCAGCAGCCGCGGUAAUACGGAGGGUGCAAGCGUUAUCCGGAUUCACUGGGUUUAAAGGUGCGUAGGUGGGCAGAUAAGUCAGUGGUGAAAUCUCUGGGCUUAACCCGGAAACUGCCAUUGAUACUAUUUGUCUUGAAUUCUCUGGAGGUAAGCGGAAUAUGUCAUGUAGCGGUGAAAUGCUUAGAUAUGACAUAGAACACCCAUUGCGAAGGCAGCUUACUACGGAGACAUUGACACUGAGGCACGAAAGCGUGGGGAUCAAACAGGAUUAGAUACCCUGGUAGUCCACGCCCUAAACGAUGAUUACUCGACAUUAGCGAUAUUACUGUUAGUGUCUAAGCGAAAGCAUUAAGUAAUCCACCUGGAAGUACGACCGCAAGUUGAAACUCAAAGGAAUUGACGGNNGAGAGNGCGAGACGACGACGAGGAGGAGG
rnacentral:rRNA from 1 species